AGCAGCCGCGGUAAUUCCAGCUCCAAUAGCGUAUAUUAAAGUUGUUGCAGUUAAAAAGCUCGUAGUUGAAUUUCGGGAUCAAUUUGUCGGUCGUGCCUCGGUACGUACUGGCAUUAUCGGUUUCUACCUUCUGAAGAACCUUGAUGUCAUUAAUUUGGUGUCUUGGGGAAUCAGGACUGUUACUUUGAAAAAAUUAGAGUGUUUAAAGCAGGCAUACGCUUGAAUACAUUAGCAUGGAAUAAUGAAAUAGGACGUUUGAUUCUAUUUUGUUGGUUUCUAGGAUCGACGUAAUGAUUAAUAGGGAUAGUUGGGGGCAUUAGUAUUCAAUUGUCAGAGGUGAAAUUCUUGGAUUUAUUGAAGACUAACUACUGCGAAAGCAUUUGCCAAGGAUGUUUUCAUUAAUCAAGAACGAAAGUUAGGGGAUCGAAGACGAUCAGAUACCGUCGUAGU
rnacentral:rRNA from 1 species